rnacentral:rRNA from 1 species
GAUGGGAGCUUGCUCCCUGAUGUUAGCGGCGGACGGGUGAGUAACACGUGGGUAACCUGCCUGUAAGACUGGGAUAACUCCGGGAAACCGGGGCUAAUACCGGAUGGUUGUCUGAACCGCAUGGUUCAGACAUAAAAGGUGGCUUCGGCUACCACUUACAGAUGGACCCGCGGCGCAUUAGCUAGUUGGUGAGGUAACGGCUCACCAAGGCGACGAUGCGUAGCCGACCUGAGAGGGUGAUCGGCCACACUGGGACUGAGACACGGCCCAGACUCCUACGGGAGGCAGCAGUAGGGAAUCUUCCGCAAUGGACGAAAGUCUGACGGAGCAACGCCGCGUGAGUGAUGAAGGUUUUCGGAUCGUAAAGCUCUGUUGUUAGGGAAGAACAAGUGCCGUUCAAAUAGGGCGGCACCUUGACGGUACCUAACCAGAAAGCCACGGCUAACUACGUGCCAGCAGCCGCGGUAAUACGUAGGUGGCAAGCGUUGUCCGGAAUUAUUGGGCGUAAAGGGCUCGCAGGCGGUUUCUUAAGUCUGAUGUGAAAGCCCCCGGCUCAACCGGGGAGGGUCAUUGGAAACUGGGGAACUUGAGUGC